rnacentral:rRNA from 1 species
UACAGAGACCUCAAGCGUUAUCCGGAAUCAUUGGGCGUAAAGCGUGCCGAUAGGUGGUUUUGAAAGUCUUGGGUAAAAGCCAGAAGCUUAACUUCUGCGUUUGCUUAAGAUACUGCAAAACUAGAGGGGCAAAGAGGUGCUUGGAACGAAUGGUGUAGUAGUGAAAUGCGUUGAUAUCAUUCGGAACACCGAAAGCGAAGGCAGAGCACUGGGUGCCACCUGACACUGCUAGGACGAAAGCGUGGGGAGCGAAUGGG